AACCUCAGAUUUUGAAUGGUUACACUUUCAAAUGUGCGUUUAAUUUUUUUAACCCUUUAAUGCACAACAUGGGUCAAAAGUAAUCCGACUGAGCUCUUAUUUUCUAUAUCUUUGCAUAGCUUGCGCAUCAAAGGGUUAAUAGGAUAAUUACAGAAUCACUUUUUGCCACAGUAGUUAGAAAUAUCUUAUUUGGCAGGGUGAGGACGUUCAAUUGCUGACAGUGUUCAUUAUGAUCAUCGUUGAGACGCUGAGAAUUGGAGUAUCCACCUUUGGUGUUCUCAGCGGGCAUCGAGUCACGAGUACCCAAACUCGGGGCCCCUGAUUUGAGGCGCGCGGGUGCAGUUCCGUAAAGCGGCCACAGUGAGGCAGUGUUGCAGCGGCGCAGACCCCGAGGAGGAGCACUCCUGGAGAGCGUGAAGCUGUCGGCGUCCCGCCAGAUCCUCAUCAGUUGUCUGGGUUUCCGCGGUGUGGGAGAGGCGUUACUAUCAGCCUCCAGCGUGCUGGGUACGCUACGCGGGAACUGACGGCUUCUCCUGGGUGAGGAAUCGUGGCAAAGAAAUCACCAAGAGCUAGUGCUGCAUCGUGCGUCUUAGAAAGCGCAGAAGUUCGGCCAUUUUGUGGAUUUACAACCUCGCGUCUGGUGGGGCCUGGACGUGGGGGCGACGUGGCUCAGGCAGUAAGAGCAGUCGUCUGGCAGUCGGAGGGUCGCCGGUUCGAUCCCCCGCCCGGGCUGUGUCGAAGUGUCCCUGAGCAAGACGCCAAACCCCCGAAUGCUCCUGACGAGCUGGUCGGCGCCUCGCACGGCAGCCAAUCGCCGUCGGUGUGUGAGUGUGUGUAUGAAUGGGUGAAUGAGAAGCAUCAAUUGUACAGCGCUUUGGAUAAAGGCGCGAUAUG